rnacentral:rRNA from 1 species
GUUGUAAGGUUAAGAAAUUAAGCGUACACGGUGGAUGCCUAGGCAAUCAGAGGCGAAGAAGGACGUGUUAAUCUGCGAAAAGCAACGGUGAGUCGAUAAAAGGCGCUAUAGCCGUUGAUGUCCGAAUGGGGAAACCCAGUACAGGUGACUGUACUAUCAUCUGAUGAAUCCAUAGUCAGAUGAAGCGAACCGGGAGAACUGAAACAUCUAAGUACCCCGAGGAAAAGAAAUCAACCGAGAUUCCCUAAGUAGCGGCGAGCGAAAGGGGAGGAGCCCAAGCGGGUAGCAUGAUGUAUUAAUGGAAGCGUCUGGAAAGUCGCACGAUAGAGGGUGAAAGUCCCGUACAUGAAAAUGCAUUAUGUGGAAGCUUAUAGAGUAGGGCGGGACACGUGAUAUCCUGUCUGAAGAAGGGGGGACCAUCCUCCAAGGCUAAAUACUCCUGAUUGACCGAUAGUGAACCAGUACCGUGAGGGAAAGGCGAAAAGAACCCCGGGAGGGGAGUGAAAUAGACCCUGAAACCGUGUACGUACAAUCAGUGGGAGCUGUUACCGUUGGGUAAUAGUGACUGCGUACCUUUUGUAUAAUGGGUCAGCGACUUAUAUUCUGUAGCGAGGUUAACCGAAUAGGGGAGCCGAAGGGAAACCGAGUAUUAACUGUGCGUUAAGUUGCAGGGUAUAGACCCGAAACCCGGUGAUCUAGCCAUGGGCAGGUUGAAGGUUGGUUAACACUAACUGGAGGACCGAACCGACUAAUGUUGAAAAAUUAGCGGAUGACCUGUGGCUGGGGGUGAAAGGCCAAUCAAACCGGGAGAUAGCUGGUUCUCCCCGAAAGCUAUUUAGGUAGCGCCUCAUGAGUAACUGUUGGGGGUAGAGCACUGUUUCGGCUAGGGGGCCAUCCCGGCUUACCAACCCGAUGCAAACUACGAAUACUGACAAGUUUAAUCAUGGGAGACACACGGCGGG